rfam:Ictidomys tridecemlineatus contig015752, whole genome shotgun sequence.
GGGGAUGUAGCUCAGUGGUAGAGCACUUGCCUAACAUACGCAAGACCCUGAAUUCAAUCCCCA